rfam:Myotis brandtii contig279266, whole genome shotgun sequence.
GCCGGUGUGUCUCAGUGGUCAGAGUGUUGGCCUGUGGACCCAAGGGUUUCGGGUUCAAUUCCUGAUCAAGGGCA